UGGCAGUGUGGUUAGCUGGUUGAGUAAAUCCUGUCAACCGCUGACUACACUACCUUA
rnacentral:pre_miRNA from 1 species